CUGGUGUGGAAGUGACACAGGGAUUUUAGGCACCACGGGAGUGCCUGACUUUGCUGGAAGAAGGGAUUGCAAAAGGGACAUGGAGGAGGUCUGGAGAGCAAUAAUUCUAAAUAGCACCUCAGGAAUGAUGUCAUUUCGACCGAACGUUGGACAUUGGGCAAUGAAUUCCUUUGGAGCAAGAGCAGCCCAGGGCCACCAGCCAAGAGGGGGGAAGAACUUCCACAGAACAGGGCCUUGCCUGGCUUCAUCCCAAAGAAGUCCCCACGAUCCCAGAGUGAUCCUUGUGGUCCCAGAGGGGCCUCUUUGAUCCCAGAGUGAUCCUGAGCUGUUCCCUUGGGGCUCAAACCAACACCAGUGAAAACCUGCGUCCUCCUCCUGGACUGAGGGGGCCAAAAGGCUGCCACAAAUCCAGGGAUAUUAUUCCUGUGGACUUGAUGAACUCAAUGACUUGAUGAAACAUCAAAACCACCCCAUAAAAACUGUGUGUUGGUGGAGUUUUUAAUUUGUAGGGUGACUCGUGGUGCUGCAAAUGCUCUGAACCGGUGGCUCACCCUCAGGGUGGGGUGAAGGAAUAGCCCUUUGACACAUAACUCUGGACAAAUUCCCACUAAUUCAGCCAUAAACAGCUGAAGGCCUGGUCAGCUUUGUAGAAACCUGCACAUUUUGUCCUUUUUAUCCCGUUUGUUCCCUUGUCCCACCAGAGGCCACCACAAACCUCAGCUGGGGGGGAAAAAAACCAAAAAAAAACCCAAAAAAAAAAAAAAACAAACCAAAAAAAAAAAAGAAAGAGGAAGAAAGCAAAGCAAUGGAAGGGGCACCUGCAGCCCUGAAUGGCCAAAGCUCCUGUUUUAUGAGGAGACUCAGAAGUGGAACUUGGAUCCCUCCAGAAACAGCUUCUCCUCCCGCUGCGUCGGGAGCGACUCCCGGAUCGCGCCUCUCGGAGCCAGGGAAUGAUCUCAGGCCGCUGAGAUCAGAUUUUGCUGAGUGUGUACAGGGUUAGGCCUGAUGUUCCCUGCCCUUUCCAGAGAAGUUCUCCCCUCUCCAAACCGUGCCUUGAGAUUUGGUUUCCUCCUCGGGAAGCCUUGGCCCUUCUGCUGCCUCGGCAUCUCAGCCUUGGCCUUUGCCAUCCCCGUUUAUCCACCUGAGGCCUUGGGGUUCCUGGAAUUGCCUGUGCUUUUCCUGGAAGAAGCGUUUGGAGGGACGGAAUGGCUUGUGCAGGAAGCCUUCAAAGGGCUGAGAAGGUGUCCAGGAGGCACAGAGGCAGCUGGAGUUUGGAUUCCACCCUCCCGAGGGGUGUUUUCUGCUCUCCAGCAACCACUCACGCCCGACGUGCCCUGGCUUGAGGGGAAGGGGGUUGAUGGAAGAUCCUGCCUGCUGUGCUGGCCAAAAUUGGGCUUUAUGGAAGGAACAUUGCAAAAAAAAAAA